CCAGGCUUGAACUGCGAGUGACACUCGGCGAAAGUCGACUUCCGCAAGGACGCUCGUAGAGGUGCUGCAUGGCUGUCGUCAGCUCGUGUCGUGAGAUGUUGGGUUAAGUCCCGCAACGAGCGCAACCCUCGUUCUCUGUUGCCAUCAGGUUAUGCUGGGCACUCUGAGGAGACUGCCGGUGAUAAACCGGAGGAAGGUGGGGAUGACGUCAAGUCAGCAUGGCCUUUAUGUCUGGGGCUACACACGUGCUACAAUGGCCGGUACAAACCGCUGCGAUCCCGCGAGGGGGAGCUAAUCGGAGAAAGCCGGUCUCAGUUCGGAUUGCAGGCUGCAACCCGCCUGCAUGAAGUUGGAAUCGCUAGUAAUCGCAGAUCAGCAGGCUGCGGUGAAUACGUUCCC
rnacentral:rRNA from 1 species